rnacentral:tRNA from 1 species
GAGAUUAUAGUUAAUAAUAACAUUUAAUUUGCAAUUAAAAAUUAUCUAAAUAGAUUAAUCUCA